AAGACUAUACUUUCAGGGAUCAUUUCUAUAGUUCUUGACUUGAGAAAUGUGUUUCUAAAGUGUUUGGUCUCGCUAACCACGAUGAUGAGACGUGAUGUUCUCCUCUGAGCGUGAAGCUGACAGGAAAAAAUGAUUUAUUUCAUAUGUUUUCUGUCAUUGAUGAACGUUCACUGUUCCCUCGUGGAGCUUUGAGGGGAGGACAUGAUCAGAGUGGU
rnacentral:snoRNA from 1 species